AUUGAACGCUGGCGGCAUGCCUUACACAUGCAAGUCGAACGGCAGCACGGGUGCUUGCACCUGGUGGCGAGUGGCGAACGGGUGAGUAAUACAUCGGAACGUACCUUAUCGUGGGGGAUAACGCAGCGAAAGCUGUGCUAAUACCGCAUACGCCCUGAGGGGGAAAGCGGGGGAUCGAAAGACCUCGCGCGACUAGAGCGGCCGAUGCCUGAUUAGCUUGUUGGUGGGGUAAAAGCCCACCAAGGCGACGAUCAGUAGCUGGUCUGAGAGGACGGUCGGCCACACUGGGACUGGGACACGGCCCAGACUCCUACGGGAGGCAGCAGUGGGGAAUUUUGGACAAUGGGGGCAACCCUGAUCCAGCAAUGCCGCGUGAGGGAAGAAGGCCUUCGGGUUGUAAAGCUCUUUUGUCAGGGAAGAAACACCGGCUCUAACACAGUCCGGGAAUGACGGUACCCGAAGAAUAAGCACCGGCUAACUACGUGCCAGCCGCCGCGGUAA
rnacentral:rRNA from 1 species